GAUCAUGGCUCAGAACGUACGCUGGCGGCACGCCUAACACAUGCAAGUCGAACGAAGUAGCAAUACUUAGUGGCAGACGGGUGAGUAACAUGUAGGUAUCUACCCUUUGGCCUGGAAUAACACGAGGAAACUUGUGCUAAUACCGGAUAAGUCUUUACGGAGAAAGCUUUAUGCACCAUUGGAUGAGCCUGCACUUGAUUAGUUUGUUGGUAGGGUAAUGGCCUACCAAGACUAUGAUCAAUAGCUGAUUUGAGAGGAUGAUCAGCCACAUUGGGACUGAGACACGGCCCAAACUCCUACGGGAGGCAGCAGUGGGGAAUCUUGCACAAUGGAGGAAACUCUGAUGCAGCGAUGCCGCGUGAGUGAAGAAGGCCCUUGGGUUGUAAAGCUCUUUCGUCGGGGAAGAAAAUGACUGUACCCGAAUAAGAAGGUCCGGCUAACUUCGUGCCAGCAGCCGCGGUAAUACGAAGGGACCUAGCGUAGUUCGGAAUUACUGGGCUUAAAGAGUUCGUAGGUGGUUGAAAAAGUUGGUGGUGAAAUCCCAGAGCUUAACUCUGGAACUGCCAUCAAAACUUUUCAGCUAGAGUAUGAUAGAGGAAAGCAGAAUUUCUAGUGUAGAGGUGAAAUUCGUAGAUAUUAGAAAGAAUACCAAUUGCGA
rnacentral:rRNA from 1 species